rnacentral:hammerhead_ribozyme from 1 species
GUACUGCUGAGGAGUCCCAUAAUAGGACGAAACAGCUGUCAAGUGC